rnacentral:rRNA from 1 species
UGAUUUAGCCAUGCAUGUCUAAGUAUCGUGAUUAUAGUGCAAAACUGCGAAUGGCUCAUUAUAACAGUUGUAAUUUGAUUGAUUUGACUUUUAAAUGGAUAUCCCUGGUACAUCCAGGGCUAAUACAUGCCUGAACGGAUUUUAUCCGUGCUUUGAGAACUAUACAAACACGAGUUUGUGAAUGUGUCUCACCAAGUAAAUCAUUUUGAUAAAUCAAAGAAGCUUCUGACCCAUCAGCUUUGAUGGUAGUGUAUUGGACUACCAUGGCUUCUACGGGUGACGAGGAAUUAGGGUUCGAUUUCGGAGAGGGAGCUUGAGAAAUGGCUACCACAUCUAAGGGAGGCAGCAGGCGCGCAAAUUACCCAAUCCUGACCAAGGGAGGUAGAGACGAGCAGUAGCAAUGAGAAGCCUUUGGUUUCUCAAUUGGAAUGGGUGUGUGUUAAAUCUUCACACGAGUAACCAUUGGAGGGAAAGUCUGGUGCCAGCAGCCGCGGUAAUUCCAGCUCCAAUAGCGUAUUUUAAAGUUGUUGCGGUUAAAACGUUCGUAGUCGUAUUUCUGCUUCGGGUGUUUCCUUUCCAAAGGGGACAUUCGAGCAUUAGUGUGGGCGGUUUUCGUCACUUAACUGUGCCGAUGCAUAAACCCGCACUGAUUAUUUUGAGGAAAUUAGAGUGUUUAAAACAAGCAUGGUAUGAAUAUAAUAGCAUGGGACAAUGUGAAACGGGGACGAGAUUAGCGUGGCUUUUGGCUCGGCCCAAUUUUCAAAAGGAGCAUUUGGGGGUAUUCGUAUUGAGCUGCUAGAGGUGAAAUUCUUGGAUUUUUUUAAGACGAACAAAUGCGAAAGCAUUUACCAAGGAUGUUUUCAUUGAUCAAGAACGAUAGUUAGGGGAUCGAAGACGAUUAGAUACCGUCCUAGUCUUAACAGUAAACUAUGCCGACUAAGGAUUUGUAAACGUGAUUAUCACUUUAUAAGUACUUUAUGAGAAAUCAAAGUCAUCGGGGUUCUGGGG